AUUGAACGCUGGCGGCAGGCCUAACACAUGCAAGUCGAACGAGCGGCGGACGGGUGAGUACUGUCUGGGAAACUGCCUGAUGGGGGGGGAUAACUACUGGAAACGGUAGCUAAUACCGCAUACCAUCAUAUGUGCCCAGAUGGGCUUAGCUAGUUGGUGGGGUAACGGCUCACCAAGGCGACGAUCCCUAGCUGGGCUGAGAGGAUGACCAGGCACAGUCGAACUCCGACACGGUACAAACCCCUACGGGAGGCAGCAGUGGGGAAUAGUGCACAAUGGGGGCAAGACUGGUGCAGCCCUGCCCGGUGUAUGAAGAAGGCGUACGGGGUGUAAAGUACCUCCCGGGGGGAUGCGAUACCCGCAGAAGCAGCACCGGUUAACGCCGCGCGAGCAGCCGCGGUAAUAC
rnacentral:rRNA from 1 species